AAAACUUUCAACAAUGGAUCUCUUGGUUCCGGCAUCGAUGAAGAACGCAGCGAAAUGCGAUAACUAGUGUGAAUUGCAGAAUUCCGUGAAUCAUCGAGUCUUUGAACGCACAUUGCGCCCCCUGGUAUUCCGGGGGGCAUGCCUGUCCGAGCGUCAUUGCUGCCCAUCAAGCACGGCUUGUGUGUUGGGUCGUCGUCCCCUCUCCGGGGGGGACGGGCCCCAAAGGCAGCGGCGGCACCGCGUCCGAUCCUCGAGCGUAUGGGGCUUUGUCACCCGCUCUGUAGGCCCGGCCGGCGCUUGCCGAACGCAAAUCAAUCUUUUUCCAGGUUGACCUCGGAUCAGGUAGGGAUACCCGCUGAACUUAAGCAUAUCAAUAAGCGGAGGAAAAGAAACCAACCGGGAUUGCCUCAGUAACGGCGAGUGAAGCGGCAAGAGCUCAAAUUUGAAAGCUGGCUCCUUCGGGGUCCGCAUUGUAAUUUGCAGAGGAUGCUUCGGGUGCGGCCCCUGUCUAAGUGCCCUGGAACGGGCCGUCAGAGAGGGUGAGAAUCCCGUCUGGGAUGGGGUGUCCGCGCCCGUGUGAAGCUCCUUCGACGAGUCGAGUUGUUUGGGAAUGCAGCUCUAAAUGGGUGGUAAAUUUCAUCUAAAGCUAAAUACUGGCCGGAGACCGAUAGCGCACAAGUAGAGUGAUCGAAAGAUGAAAAGCACUUUGAAAAGAGAGUUAAAAAGCACGUGAAAUUGUUGAAAGGGAAGCGCUUGCGACCAGACUCGCCUCCAGGGUUCAGCCGGCAUUCGUGCCGGUGUACUUCCCUGGGGGCGGGCCAGCGUCGGUUUGGGCGGCCGGUCAAAGGCUCCCGGAAUGUAGUGCCCUCCGGGGCACCUUAUAGCCGGGAGUGCAAUGCGGCCAGCCUGGACCGAGGAACGCGCUUCGGCACGGACGCUGGCAUAAUGGUCGUAAACGACCCGUCUUGAAACACGGACCAAGGAGUCUAACAUCUACGCGAGUGUUCGGGUGUCAAACCCGUACGCGCAGUGAAAGCGAACGGAGGUGGGAGCCCCCUCGUGGGGCGCACCAUCGACCGAUCCUGAUGUCUUCGGAUGGAUUUGAGUAAGAGCGUAAAUGUGGGGACCCGAAAGAUGGUGAACUAUGCCUGAAUAGGGCGAAGCCAGAGGAAACUCUGGUGGAGGCUCGCAGCGGUUCUGACGUGCAAAUCGAUCGUCAAAUUUGGGUAUAGGGGCGAAAGACUAAUCGAACCAUCUAGUAGCUGGUUCCUGCCGAAGUUUCCCUCAGGAUAGCAGUAACGCGAAUUCAGUUUUAUGAGGUAAAGCGAAUGAUUAGAGGCAUUGGGGUUGAAACAACCUUAACCUAUUCUCAAACUUUAAAUAUGUAAGAAGCCCUUGUUGCUUAGUUGAACGUGGGCAUUAGAAUGGAGCGUUAUUAGUGGGCCAUUUUUGGUAAGCAGAACUGGCGAUGCGGGAUGAACCGAACGCGAGGUUAAGGUGCCGGAAUGCACGCUCAUCAGACACCACAAAAGGUGUUAGUACAUCUUGACAGCAGGACGGUGGCCAUGGAAGUCGGAAUCCGCUAAGGACUGUGUAACAACUCACCUGCCGAAUGUACUAGCCCUGAAAAUGGAUGGCGCUCAAGCGUCUCACCCAUACCUCGCCCUCAGGGUAGAAACGAUGCCCUGAGGAGUAGGCGGACGUGGAGGUCAGUGACGAAGCCUAGGGCGUGAGCCCGGGUUGAACGGCCUCUAGUGCAGAUCUUGGUGGUAGUAGCAAAUACUUCAAUGAGAACUUGAAGGACCGAAGUGGGGAAAGGUUCCAUGUGAACAGCGGUUGGACAUGGGUUAGUCGAUCCUAAGCCAUAGGGAAGUUCCGUUUCAAAGGCGCACUAUGCGCCGUCUGGCGAAAGGGGAGCCGGUCAAUAUUCCGGCACCUGGAUGUGGGUUUUGCGCGGCAACGCAACUGAACGCGGAGACGACGGCGGGGGCCCCGGGCAGAGUUCUCUUUUCUUCUUAACAGUCUCUCACCCUGAAAUCGGUUUGUCCGGAGCUAGGGUUUAAUGGCUGGAAGAGCCCAGCACCUCUGCUGGGUCCGGUGCGCUCUCGACGUCCCUUGAAAAUCCGCGGGAAGAAAUAAUUCUCACGCCAGGUCGUACUCAUAACCGCAGCAGGUCUCCAAGGUNAAACACGGACCAAGGAGUCGUCUUCGUAUGCGAGUGUUCGGGUGUCAAACCCCUACGCGAAAUGAAAGUGAACGCAGGUGAGAGCUUCGGCGCAUCAUCGACCGAUCCUGAUGUUAUCGGAUGGAUUUGAGUAAGAGCAUACGGGGCCGGACCCGAAAGAAGGUGAACUAUGCCUGUGUAGGGUGAAGCCAGAGGAAACUCUGGUGGAGGCUCGCAGCGGUUCUGACGUGCAAAUCGAUCGUCAAACAUGGGCAUGGGGGCGAAAGACUAAUCGAACCUUCUAGUAGCUGGUUUCCGCCGAAGUUUCCCUCAGGAUAGCAGUGUUGAACUCAGUUUUAUGAGGUAAAGCGAAUGAUUAGGGACUCGGGGGCGCUAUUUAGCCUUCAUCCAUUCUCAAACUUUAAAUAUGUAAGAAGCCCUUGUUGCUUAAUUGAACGUGGGCAUUCGAAUGAAUCAACACUAGUGGGCCAUUUUUGGUAAGCAGAACUGGCGAUGCGGGAUGAACCGAACGCGAGGUUAAGGUGCCGGAAUGCACGCUCAUCAGACACCACAAAAGGUGUUAGUUCAUCUAGACAGCCCGACGGUGGCCAUGGAAGUCGGAAUCCGCUAAGGAGUGUGUAACAACUCACGGGCCGAAUGAACUAGCCCUGAAAAUGGAUGGCGCUCAAGCGUGUUACCCAUACCUCGCCGCCGGGGUAGAAACGAUGCCC
rnacentral:rRNA from 1 species